CAGAGGAGUGUGUGAAUACGGCUCCGAACGUCAAAGUGAAAGUAUGUUCUGCCAAUUUAUUGGUAUUUUACUUGGAACGUACAGGAACCGGCCUGAGCGGAUAUUGUGUCGGCUCACUAGAAGGCGGUGAUAUCCUGGAUUUUAGAACCGUACCGAGUGUCACUUAUGAUCAAGUUACGGCGGCAUAUCUCACACAAUUCCGGUUCUUCUGCAACUUCACCGAAUCAACAGACGACGUAUUAUUUUAUCAAGCAUACUGGUACGUGAACAGCCGUUUUAUAUACAGUUCACCUUUCGCUGCUUAUAAUGAUCCGGCCAACGAACGAGUACUAACAGAAGCUAAGCUACGGGAACAGGGUGUGGUCACGGUUGGCUUUGAUAUUUAUUGUGACAUUAGAGCAGGUAGACGCGUCAACGGAGCAGCAGGAUUUCCAUCUACGAGUAAACCAAUAUUUAUUGGUGUAGAGGUU